GACGAACGCUGGCGGCGUGCCUAAUACAUGCAAGUCGAGCGAAUCGAUGGGAGCUUGCUCCUGAAGGUUCGCGGCGGACGGGUGAGUAACACGUGGGCAACCUGCCUGUAAGACUGGGAUAACACCGGGAAACCGGUGCUAAUACCGGAUAAUCCUUUUCCUCUCAUGAGGAAAAGUUGAAAGUCGGUUUCGGCUGACACUUACAGAUGGGCCCGCGGCGCAUUAGCUAGUUGGUGAGGUAACGGCUCACCAAGGCGACGAUGCGUAGCCGACCUGAGAGGGUGAUCGGCCACACUGGGACUGAGACACGGCCCAGACUCCUACGGGAGGCAGCAGUAGGGAAUCUUCCACAAUGGACGAAAGUCUGAUGGAGCAACGCCGCGUGAGCGAUGAAGGCCUUCGGGUCGUAAAGCUCUGUUGUUAGGGAAGAACAAGUACCGGAGUAACUGCCGGUACCUUGACGGUACCUAACCAGAAAGCCACGGCUAACUACGUGCCAGCCGCCGCCGUAAAAC
rnacentral:rRNA from 1 species